GACGAACGUUGGCGGCGUGCUUAACACAUGCAAGUCGAACGGAAAGGCCCUGCUUUUGUGGGGUGCUCGAGUGGCGAACGGGUGAGUAACACGUGAGUAACCUGCCCUUGACUUUGGGAUAACUUCAGGAAACUGGGGCUAAUACCGGAUAGGAGCUCCUGCUGCAUGGUGGGGGUUGGAAAGUUUCGGCGGUUGGGGAUGGACUCGCGGCUUAUCAGCUUGUUGGUGGGGUAGUGGCUUACCAAGGCUUUGACGGGUAGCCGGCCUGAGAGGGUGACCGGCCACAUUGGGACUGAGAUACGGCCCAGACUCCUACGGGAGGCAGCAGUGGGGAAUAUUGCACAAUGGGCGGAAGCCUGAUGCAGCAACGCCGCGUGCGGGAUGACGGCCUUCGGGUUGUAAACCGCUUUCGCCUGUGACGAAGCGUGAGUGACGGUAAUGGGUAAAGAAGCACCGGCUAACUACGUGCCAGCAGCCGCGGUGAUACGUAGGGUGCGAGCGUUGUCCGGAUUUAUUGGGCGUAAAGGGCUCGUAGGUGGUUGAUCGCGUCGGAAGUGUAAUCUUGGGGCUUAACCCUGAGCGUGCUUUCGAUACGGGUUGACUUGAGGAAGGUAGGGGAGAAUGGAAUUCCUGGUGGAGCGGUGGAAUGCGCAGAUAUCAGGAGGAACACCAGUGGCGAAGGCGGUUCUCUGGGCCUUUCCUGACGCUGAGGAGCGAAAGCGUGGGGAGCGAACAGGCUUAGAUACCCUGGUAGUCCACGCUGUAAACGGUGGGUACUAGGUGUGGGGUCCAUUCCACGGGUUCCGUGCCGUAGCUAACGCUUUAAGUACCCCGCCUGGGGAGUACGGCCGCAAGGCUAAAACUCAAAGGAAUUGACGGGGCCCCGCACAAGCGGCGGAGCAUGCGGAUUAAUUCGAUGCAACGCGUAGAACCUUACCUGGGUUUGACAUGGAUCGGGAGUGCUCAGAGAUGGGUGUGCCUCUUUUGGGGUCGGUUCACAGGUGGUGCAUGGCUGUCGUCAGCUCGUGUCGUGAGAUGUUGGGUUAAGUCCCGCAACGAGCGCAACCCUUGUUCACUGUUGCCAGCACGUUAUGGUGGGGACUCAGUGGAGACCGCCGGGGUCAACUCGGAGGAAGGUGGGGAUGACGUCAAGUCAUCAUGCCCCUUAUGUCCAGGGCUUCACGCAUGCUACAAUGGCUGGUACAGAGAGUGGCGAGCCUGUGAGGGUGAGCGAAUCUCGGAAAGCCGGUCUCAGUUCGGAUUGGGGUCUGCAACUCGACCUCACGAAGUCGGAGUCGCUAGUAAUCGCAGAUCAGCAACGCUGCGGUGAAUACGUUCCCGGGGCC
rnacentral:rRNA from 1 species